rnacentral:tRNA from 1 species
GCUGGAGUAGCACAGUGGCAGUGCAGCUGAUUCGUAAUCAGCAGGUCGUGAGUUCAAAUCUCAUCUCCAGCUCCA